UACGUAGGGGCCGAGCGUUGUCCGGAGUUAUUGGGCGUAAAGCGCGCGCAGGCGGCUUCGCGCGCCCGACGUGAAAGCCCCCGGCUUAACCGGGGAGAGUCGUUGGGGACGGCGGAGCUUGAGGGCGGGAGAGGUCGGUGGAAUUCCCGGUGUAGUGGUGAAAUGCGUAGAGAUCGGGAGGAACACCUGUGGGCGAAGGCGG
rnacentral:rRNA from 1 species